rnacentral:rRNA from 1 species
CCAACGGGAGGCAGCAGUGGGGAAUAUUGCACAAUGGGGGAAACCCUGAUGCAGCGACGCCGCGUGAGCGAAGAAGUAUUUCGGUAUGUAAAGCUCUAUCAGCAGGGAAGAAGAAUGACGGUACCUGACUAAGAAGCACCGGCUAAAUACGUGCCAGCAGCCGCGGUAAUACGUAUGGUGCAAGCGUUAUCCGGAUUUACUGGGUGUAAAGGGAGCGCAGGCGGUGCGGCAAGACUGAUGUGAAAGCCCGGGGCUCAACCCCGGUACUGCAUUGGAAACUGUCGUACUAGAGUGUCGGAGGGGUAAGUGGAAUUCCUAGUGUAGCGGUGAAAUGCGUAGAUAUUAGGAGGAACACCAGUGGCGAAGGCGGCUUACUGGACGAUAACUGACGCUGAGGCUCGAAAGCGUGGGGAGCAAACA